CAGUAGCCGCGGUAAUACGUAGGUGGCAAGCGUUGUCCGGAAUUAUUGGGCGUAAAGGGCUCGCAGGCGGUUUGUUAAGUCAGAUGUGAAAUCCCCGGGCUCAACCUGGGAGCUGCAUCUGAUACUGGCAAGCUUGAGUCUCGUAGAGGGGGGUAGAAUUCCAGGUGUAGCGGUGAAAUGCGUAGAGAUCUGGAGGAAUACCGGUGGCGAAGGCGGCCCCCUGGACGAAGACUGACGCUCAGGUGCGAAAGCGUGGGGAGCAAACAGGAUUAGAUACCCGUGUAGUCCCUGUCUCUUAUAA
rnacentral:rRNA from 1 species